UAUCACAAUACUACAGAGACGAGGCAUGUCCUGAGAGUCACAGUGAAUAUAGAUUAACAUGGCACUACAGUGUUGGUGAAAGGGCCAUGCCUUAGAAGUCAGAAGGCACUUAAGUUAAUUUAUGAUUUGCUGUCUGUCUGAACCAGGGGUGGCUAACCUCGGUCCUGGAGAGUUCAGCUCCAGCCCUAAUCAAACACACCUGAACAAGCUAAUCAAGGUUUGAAAGGUUGUUAGAAAGCUAUAGGCAGGUGAGUUUUGAUCAGGGUUGGAGCUAAACUCUGCAGGACUGAGGCUCUCCAGGACCGGAGUUCACCACCCUGGACUGAACCAAAGAAAUAAAAGUGAACUAUGACUUCCACGAUGCAGAAAACAUGGACGGAAUCACGGAAUUCAUUCAUAAAAACAGAAUUUACUGUAUAACGUGGAAUGUCACAGAAUUUGUCAAAUUUUGGAUGAAUAAAUCAAAAGUAGAUGGGCACACUUAAAUCACGAUAUGGACUAGUGUCUGUGAAUAUUAAACCGCAAGAAGACUAUGUACAUGAAUCCUGCAUGUUCUGCGUGUCUCUGUGUGAAUGAACCCGCAAAUGCGUUUACUAGCCUACACAUACUGAAGCACAACAGUGUUUUUUCCAGCGUCUGCCAUCUGACUAUAUGACGACAUGAACACAAACUUCAUCUCCAAAGCUGCUCUGAGAGUCACUUCAUGAGCAUUUUACUGUUUCAUUGAGUAGCAUCUGCCUGCAAAACCGAAGGCUGCAUUUUCAGGACUGCAUUUCUAGGACCCUAGAUUUUUAGUGACAGCGCCACCUACCGAAUUACAGGACCAGUGACCGCAUGUUUUUCUGGAAGAUGGACGAUAUUCAGAGUAAACACACAAUCCAAGAAGGAAGAUCCUUUCCUGGACUAUAGAGAUGCACCACAUGCUGCAAGGAGUUCCUCUGCCCGUUCUGCAGCUCUGCUUUGUUUCACCCAACAAAGUUGAGCAAAGUGAAAUCCCAUUUGGAGAGCCAUUUCAAACACACAGUUCUCCAUGAAGACCAUCAUAUAUGGUCUGGCUGGGCUGCAGAAUUUCUCUGCGGGAUGUUGAGAAGACCUUCUUCUCUGGUCUGGAUUAUCAUCACAGUGAAGUGGAAGAAAAGAGAAAAGAGGGGAGAACAUCUGUUGGUAGGUAGUGCUGCUGCAUACUUCACAAUCUGUGCUUUAAAUAUUUAAAGGUCAGGAAAUGUCAUGUCAAUAACAUGUUAUUUCUAUUCAGAUUUCUUGCAUCUCUUUCAAUUCAUUAUUUUCUCAGUUCAGAUGGGCUUUAUUGACAUCAAAGUUUCAAGACCCUUUGUUCCAACAGCAUCAAAAUAAAAUUUUUCCAAAACUUUGAACAGUAUGCAAUAACAGUAAUAUGAACAUUAAUUGGUAUGAAGAUUGAUAUAAUUAUUUUUGUAUCGUAUAUA